rnacentral:rRNA from 1 species
UACGAAGGGGGCUAGCGUUGUCCGGAUUUACUGGGCGUAAAGGAUGCGUAGGCGGACAUUUAAGUCAGAUGUGAAAUACCCGAGCUUAACUUGGGUGCUGCAUUUGAAACUGGGUGUCUAGAGUGCAGGAGAGGUAAGUGGAAUUCCUAGUGUAGCGGUGAAAUGCGUAGAGAUUAGGAAGAACACCAGUGGCGAAGGCGACUUACUGGACUGUAACUGACGCUGAGGCAUGAAAGCUAGGGGAGCAAACAGG